GUGCUUAACCCAUGCAAGUCGAACGGAAAGGCCCUGCUUUUGUGGGGUGCUCGAGUGGCGAACGGGUGAGUAACACGUGAGUAACCUGCCCUUGACUUUGGGAUAACUUCAGGAAACUGGGGCUAAUACCGGAUAGGAGCUCCUGCUGCAUGGUGGGGGUUGGAAAGUUUCGGCGGUUGGGGAUGGACUCGCGGCUUAUCAGCUUGUUGGUGGGGUAGUGGCUUACCAAGGCUUUGACGGGUAGCCGGCCUGAGAGGGUGACCGGCCACAUUGGGACUGAGAUACGGCCCAGACUCCUACGGGAGGCAGCAGUGGGGAAUAUUGCACAAUGGGCGGAAGCCUGAUGCAGCAACGCCGCGUGCGGGAUGACGGCCUUCGGGUUGUAAACCGCUUUCGCCUGUGACGAAGCGUGAGUGACGGUAAUGGGUAAAGAAGCACCGGCUAACUACGUGCCAGCAGCCGCGGUGAUACGUAGGGUGCGAGCGUUGUCCGGAUUUAUUGGGCGUAAAGGGCUCGUAGGUGGUUGAUCGCGUCGGAAGUGUAAUCUUGGGGCUUAACCCUGAGCGUGCUUUCGAUACGGGUUGACUUGAGGAAGGUAGGGGAGAAUGGAAUUCCUGGUGGAGCGGUGGAAUGCGCAGAUAUCAGGAGGAACACCAGUGGCGAAGGCGGUUCUCUGGGCCUUUCCUGACGCUGAGGAGCGAAAGCGUGGGGAGCGAACAGGCUUAGAUACCCUGGUAGUCCACGCUGUAAACGGUGGGUACUAGGUGUGGGGUCCAUUCCACGGGUUCCGUGCCGUAGCUAACGCUUUAAGUACCCCGCCUGGGGAGUACGGCCGCAAGGCUAAAACUCAAAGGAAUUGACGGGGCCCCGCACAAGCGGCGGAGCAUGCGGAUUAAUUCGAUGCAACGCGUAGAACCUUACCUGGGUUUGACAUGGAUCGGGAGUGCUCAGAGAUGGGUGUGCCUCUUUUGGGGUCGGUUCACAGGUGGUGCAUGGCUGUCGUCAGCUCGUGUCGUGAGAUGUUGGGUUAAGUCCCGCAACGAGCGCAACCCUUGUUCACUGUUGCCAGCACGUUAUGGUGGGGACUCAGUGGAGACCGCCGGGGUCAACUCGGAGGAAGGUGGGGAUGACGUCAAGUCAUCAUGCCCCUUAUGUCCAGGGCUUCACGCAUGCUACAAUGGCUGGUACAGAGAGUGGCGAGCCUGUGAGGGUGAGCGAAUCUCGGAAAGCCGGUCUCAGUUCGGAUUGGGGUCUGCAACUCGACCUCAUGAAGUCGGAGUCGCUAGUAAUCGCAGAUCAGCAACGCUGCGGUGAAUACGUUCCCGGGGCUUGUACACACCGCCCGUCAAGUCAUGAAAGUUGGUAACACCCGAAGCCGGUGGCCUAACCGUUGUGGGGGAGCCGUCGAAGGUGGGACUGGUGAUUAGGACUAAGU
rnacentral:rRNA from 1 species